rnacentral:rRNA from 1 species
GAUGAACGCUGGCGGCGUGCCUAAUACAUGCAAGUCGAGCGGACCAAAGAGAGCUUGCUCUCUGAGGUUAGCGGCGGACGGGUGAGUAACACGUGGGUAACCUGCCUGUAAGACGGGGAUAACUUCGGGAAACCGAAGCGAAUACCGGAUGAUAAAGAGAAACGCCUGUUUCUUUUUUGAAAGUCGGCCUUGUGCUGACGCUUACAGAUGGGCCCGCGGCGCAUUAGCUAGUUGGUGAGGGAACGGCUCACCAAGGCGACGAUGCGUAGCCGACCUGAGAGGGUGAUCGGCCACACUGGGACUGAGACACGGCCCAGACUCCUACGGGAGGCAGCAGUAGGGAAUCUUCGGCAAUGGACGAAAGUCUGACCGAGCAACGCCGCGUGAGCGAUGAAGGCCUUCGGGUCGUAAAGCUCUGUUGUCAGAGAAGAACAAGUACCGGAGUAACUGCCGGUACCUUGACGGUACCUGACCAGAAAGCCACGGCUAACUACGUGCCAGCAGCCGCCGUAA